AGACGGGUGAGUAACAUGUGGGUAUCUACCCUUUGGCCUGGAAUAACACGAGGAAACUUGUGCUAAUACCGGAUAAGUCUUUACGGAGAAAGCUUUAUGCACCAUUGGAUGAGCCCGCACUUGAUUAGUUUGUUGGUAGGGUAAUGGCCUACCAAGACUAUGAUCAAUAGCUGAUUUGAGAGGAUGAUCAGCCACAUUGGGACUGAGACACGGCCCAAACUCCUACGGGAGGCAGCAGUGGGGAAUCUUGCACAAUGGAGGAAACUCUGAUGCAGCGAUGCCGCGUGAGUGAAGAAGGCCUUUGGGUUGUAAAGCUCUUUCGUCGGGGAAG
rnacentral:rRNA from 1 species